rnacentral:rRNA from 1 species
AGCCAAUAGAUACCCUGGUAGUCCACGCCCUAAACGAUGUCUACUAGUUGUUGGUGGAGUAAAAUCCAUGAGUAAACGCAGCUAACGCGUGAAGUAGACCGCCUGGGGAGUACGGUCGCAAGAUUAAAACUCAAAGGAAUUGACGGGGGCCCGGCACAAGCGGUGGAUUAUGUGGAUUAAUUCGAUGCAACGCGAAAACCUUAACCUGGCCUUGACAUGCCACUAACGAAGCAGAGAUGCAUUAGGUGCCCGUAACGGGAAAGUAGGACACAGGUGCUGCAUGGCUGUCGUCAGCUCGUGUCGUGAGAUGUUGGGUUAAGUUCCCGCAACGAGCGCAACCCUUGCCAUUAAUUGCCGUCAUUUAGUUGGGCACUUUAAUGGGACUGCCGGUGACAAACCGGAGGAAGGUGGGGAUGACGUCAAGUCCUCAUGGCCCUUAUGGCCAGGGGCUUCACACGUAAUACAAUGGUCGGUACAGAGAGUUGCCAACCCGCGAGGGGGUAGCUAAUCUCAGAAAGCCGAUCGUAGUCCGGAUUGUUCUCUGC